CGACAGGCUCCGAUCGAAGCCGUUCGUGCUCCCUGUAGCAGCGAACGGUCAAACGGAAGCCGAGACCAACACUUUCACCGACGGUCGCUGUUCAGUUUUAAAGUAACUGCUUCAGCAACAUCUAGGGGAAGGACACCU
ensembl:snoRNA